rfam:Vigna angularis cultivar Jingnong 6 chromosome 7, whole genome shotgun sequence.
AAUAUCCAAAUAUAAUACUUGAACUAAAGGUCAAAUUAGUUAUUUUUCUUACAUCGAGCUCAUGUAUCAUAUAUAUAUAUAUAUAUAUAUAUACUUCCAAAAUAAAGAGUCUUAAAUAUUAGAAGAAAAGCACCUAUACUUAACAAGAUUAAGUGAAUACCUAAAAUUGCAGUCAUUUUAUUUUUAUCUUUUCA